GACGAACGCUGGCGGCGUGCUUAACACAUGCAAGUCGAACGGGCCUGCCUGGCUUUGGUUGGGUGGGUGAGUGGCGAACGGGUGAGUAACACGUGAGUAACCUGCCCUCUUCUCUUGGAUAACUGCUUGAAAGGGCGGCUAAUACGGGAUGUUCUGGCUGCCUCGCAUGGGGUGGUUUGGAAAGAUUCGGCCUGGUUUUGGUUGUUUUGGUGGGGGAUGGGCUCGCGGCUUAUCAGCUUGUUGGUGGGGUGAUGGCCUACCAAGGCGGUGACGGGUAGCCGGCCUGAGAGGGUGGACGGUCACACUGGGACUGAGACACGGCCCAGACUCCUCGGGAGGCAGCAGUGGGGGAUUUUGCACAAUGGGCGCAAGCCUGAUGCAGCGACGCCGCGUGGGGGAUGGAGGCCUUCGGGUUGUGAACCUCUGUCGCCGGUGAUGUAGGCUCUGCUUUGUGGGUGGG
rnacentral:rRNA from 1 species